GGCGGCGGAAAAACCACCUCAGUUGGGGCGGAGGGUUAGUUUUAAGAGCAAGGGGCCUUUACUAAAAUGGCGAAGGCCUUCCGUCGGCGUUGUUUUAAAAUGGGAAGCCUCGACCCAGUAUUGAGACAGCUGUUCGAAGGCGGCGUUGUGUGCAAUUCGGAUUAAUGAAGGGGAAGGGUUUUGUGUGGAAAAACACCUUGGAGUGUGACAUUUCUGCGAGAAUGCUUAAAUACCGAUUUCCCGCAGGAACAAUGGCGCUGUCUUCAGUGGCACAGCGGAGCAGUUCUGUGAAGAUGCAAAGAUACACGAAAAAAAUUCCAGAACAUCUGGGAGAAUAUUUAAUGGAAAAUCGCUUGGUUAAAACCUGACACUUAACAGCAUUCUGAGUGUGGACGAGUAGCCAGUGAAGAUAAUGAAUGUCGGAUGUCACUGACUAGCAGCUUCAUUUUGAAUGAGGGUCGCUGUCUGCCCAUUGAUAGAGGCCAGAUUGUCUUGGAAGUUCCAAAGUUGCAACGAUUUCUGGCUAGUGCCACGAGGUUUACUUGACUGUUGUGUGAAAAGCUGAUAAGAAAACCAUCCAGAAAACAGCUCUUCGUUUUACAAACAUGAAAAUAAAACAUGUAAUUUUG
rnacentral:lncRNA from 1 species